rnacentral:rRNA from 1 species
AACGUGUAGGGCGAACGUUGUUCGGAAUCACUGGGCGUAAAGGGCGCGUAGGCGGUCUGAAUAGUUCAAGUUGAAAUCCCGGAGCUCAACUCCGGAACUGGCUUGAAAACUCUCAGACUUGAGGAAGACAGGGGAGUAUGGAACUUCAGGUGGAGCGGUGAAAUGCGUAGAUAUCUGAAGGAACACCGGUGGCGAAGGCGAUGCUCUGGGUCUUUCCUGACGCUGAGUGCGCGAAAGCGUGGGGAGCAAACAGG